rnacentral:rRNA from 1 species
UGGGGAAUCUUGCACAAUGGGGGCAACCCUGAUGCAGCGACGCCGCGUGAGCGAUGAAGCCCUUCGGGGCGUAAAGCUCUUUCGACCGGAACGAUAAUGACGGUACCGGGAGAAGAAGCUGCGGCUAACUACGUGCCAGCAGCCGCGGUAAUACGUAGGCAGCAAGCGUUGUUCGGAGUUACUGGGCGUAAAGAGUGCGUAGGCGGUUUUCUAAGUUCGGUGUGAAAUCUCCCGGCUUAACUGGGAGGGUGCGCCGAAGACUGGGAAGCUGGAGUGUGGGAAAGGCAGGCGGAAUUCCUGGUGUAGCGGUGAAAUGCGUAGAUAUCAGGAGGAACACCGGCGGUGUAGACGGCUUGCUAGACCAUAACUGACGCUGUGGCACGAAAGCGUGGGUAGCAAACA